UUAGGCAGUAGCAUUACCAAGUUUUUGCCUGAUCUCAUCGGAUCUCAGAAGCCAAACAAGGCUGAUCAUGGACAGUACUGUGGUGGAGCUUGUCCAAGAAAACCUGGUUGCUGCUGCAA
rnacentral:rRNA from 1 species